rnacentral:lncRNA from 1 species
AAAUGAUGACUCAGGUAAUUUGAGUAUUUGAAACUUUCUUUGUUAGUGUUAACUCUUUCAUGUACCUUUUAUUUUUUUUAUUUUUCCGCAAAUGAAAUUAAUUUCUCAAGUUCCACUUUUUAUUGCCCACUUGCAGGUUUACACGAUGGUUAGUGGAGAGCCAGCUCCAAAGAUUUCUAUGGUGAAGGAUAUAUCGACAGUAGCAGACAUGACAAUAAUCAACCGACAACAUGGUAAAAAAAUAAUUAUGGAAGCAAAACCUAGGAAAAAAAAAUGCACACUUGUUCUAACAUUUUUUCUUUAAUUGCAUAUUUCGAAGGAUAGGACCCAAAAACAUCACUUUGGGACUUGCUUGAAUCAACUCUUACUAUACUUACCAACACAAGACAUGCCGAAGGGGUAAGAAAAUAAUUUAUGUCUAAUUCAAUAGUCUAAGACCUUGCAUUGCAUGUCUUGUAUCUUUGAGAAAUCAGCCCACCACGCUACUUAUGGCUAAAGCAGUAGUAUCCUUUGAAUGGUGAUGGUGUUAGUUGAUUACAUAUUUGUACCUAAUUUGUCUACAAAUGAGCAUGUUGUAUUAUUGUUUUCACAUAUUUGAUUUAAGUCGAUGGUAUUUUAUAUAUUUGGUUAUUGAUUGAUAUACUUCUUUUCAUUUUGAAAAGUUGUGUGAUAUUUUUGUUGUGUUCUGUUCUGAAAUUUUACAGUACUAGAUCUUUUGUGACAUAUAACCAAAUAUUAAUUUCAAAUUUGGAUUAUUAUUCUCUUACAGAGUGAUACAUCAAGGCUG